rnacentral:rRNA from 1 species
UAACACAUGCAAGUCGAACGAAGAACGGAUUAUAGCUUGCUAUAAUUGUCAGCUAAGUGGCGCACGGGUGAGUAAUGUAUAGAUAACCUGCCCUCUAGAAAGGAAUAACAGUUGGAAACGACUGCUAAUGCCCUAUAUGCCUUUAAUACAUAAGUAUGCAAGGGAAACGCUUUAGUGCUAGAGGAUGGGUCUGUAUGGUAUCAGCUAGUUGGUGAGGUAAUGGCUCACCAAGGCUAUGACGCCUAACUGGUUUGAGAGGAUGAUCAGUCACACUGGAACUGAGACACGGUCCAGACUCCUACGGGAGGCAGCAGUGGGGAAUAUUGCACAAUGGACGAAAGUCUGAUGCAGCAACGCCGCGUGGAGGAUGACACAUUUCGGUGCGUAAACUCCUUUUAUAUAGGAAGAUAAUGACGGUACUAUAUGAAUAAGCACCGGCUAACUCCGUGCCAGCAGCCGCGGUAAUACGGAGGGUGCAAGCGUUACUCGGAAUCACUGGGCGUAAAGAGCGUGUAGGCGGGUAUAUAAGUCAGAAGUGAAAUCCUAUAGCUUAACUAUAAAACUGCUUUUGAAACUGUAUACCUAGAAUGUGGGAGAGGUAGAUGGAAUUUCUGGUGUAGGGGUAAAAUCCGUAGAGAUCAGAAGGAGUACCGAUUGCGAAGGCGAUCUACUGGAA